rnacentral:rRNA from 1 species
CGUGCUACAAUGGUCGGUACAGAAGGGUUGCCAAGCCGCGAGGUGGAGCUAAUCUCACAAAACCGAUCGUAGUCCGGAUCGCAGUCUGCCAACUCGACUGCGUGAAGUCGGAAUCGCUAGUAAUCGUGAAUCAGAAUGUCACGGUGAAUACGUUCCCGGGCCUU